rnacentral:rRNA from 1 species
GAUGAACGCUAGCGGCAGGCUUAAUACAUGCAAGUCGAGGGGCAGCAGGACUGUAGCAAUACAGUUGCUGGCGACCGGCAAACGGGUGCGGAACACGUACGCAACCUACCCAAAACUGGGGAAUAGCCCGGGGAAACCCGGAUUAAUACCUCGUAACAUAAUGAUGUGGCAUCACAUUAUUAUUAUAGCUCCGGCGGUUUUGGAUGGGCGUGCGCCUGAUUAGGUAGUUGGCGGGGUAACGGCCCACCAAGCCUGCGAUCAGUAACUGGUGUGAGAGCACGACCAGUCACACGGGCACUGAGACACGGGCCCGACUCCUACGGGAGGCAGCAGUAAGGAAUAUUGGUCAAUGGACGCAAGUCUGAACCAGCCGUGCCGCGUGAAGGAUGAAGGUCCUCUGGAUUGUUAAACUUUCUUUUAUAUGGGACGAAACCCCGGGUAAUUCCUUCCCGAUUGACGGUACCAUAAGAAUAAG